rnacentral:lncRNA from 1 species
UUUUGAGAAAGAAAGGUCUCUGCAUUCAGUAUAAGUGGCCUCACGACCUUAGGUUUUUACCUGAAAGCACCGUAAACAUCUGACUGGAGGGAACGUGGGCGCGGCGCCAGUGGCUGGACACGAGACGAGGUCCCAAGGCGAUGGAGUCUCAGAGACGCGGUACCCAACGACCGGAAACUCCCAGGGGCGGGGAGGCGGGUGGCCACGCCCAAGGCCACGCCCCCUGGUCACACCCCCGGCGGCGCCAUUUCCUGCCAACCGGGAAGCAGAUCUCCAGGACUGGCGGCCCGGUUCACCGAGUGAGUUUCAGUAGUUCGCGUCCAAACUUGCGCGCUGACGCGCUCAGCGCCGGGUCCUCCACACUCCCGGGCCCCCGCGGCUGUUACCGUCCCAGCCGCGGGGAGCCCCGCCUAGUCUGGAGGCGCUCUGCCGCGGGGGCCGGACCCACACCUAUUUCUGGGAAUCUGGCCUCCCGGGAAGAAGGCCAGACUCAGGGACUAUGCCCUGUUCCCCAGCCCUCCAGGGCCCCACCUACUCUGAACAAUAAGACUAGAGCCUUUCUCAGCCUGGACUGUCUUGCUACACAUUCUGCCAUCUGCUCCACCCUACAGCCUAGAGAGUCUGUCAGCUUUGGAAGAUGCUAG